rnacentral:rRNA from 1 species
AUUGAACGCUGGUGGCAUGCUCUACACAUGCAAGUCGAACGGUAACAGGCCGCAAGGUGCUGACGAGUGGCGAACGGGUGAGUAAUGCAUCGGAACGUGCCCAGUCGUGGGGGAUAACUACUCGAAAGAGUAGCUAAUACCGCAUACGAUCUAUGGAUGAAAGCGGGGGACCGUAAGGCCUCGCGCGAUUGGAGCGGCCGAUGUCAGAUUAGGUAGUUGGUGGGGUAAAGGCUCACCAAGCCAACGAUCUGUAGCUGGUCUGAGAGGACGACCAGCCACACUGGGACUGAGACACGGCCCAGACUCCUACGGGAGGCAGCAGUGGGGAAUUUUGGACAAUGGGCGCAAGCCUGAUCCAGCAAUGCCGCGUGCAGGAAGAAGGCCUUCGGGUUGUAAACUGCUUUUGUACGGAACGAAACGGCUCUGGUUAAUACCCGGGGCUAAUGACGGUACCGUAAGAAUAAGCACCGGCUAACUACGUG